GCGUCGUUAGCUCAGUGGUCAGAGCAGCCGGCUCUUACCCGGCGGGUCAGGGGUUCGACUCCCUUACGGCGCA
rnacentral:tRNA from 1 species